rnacentral:rRNA from 1 species
GAACCGCAUGGUUCAAGGAUGAAAGACGGUUUCGGCUGUCACUUACAGAUGGACCCGCGGCGCAUUAGCUAGUUGGUGAGGUAACGGCUCACCAAGGCGACGAUGCGUAGCCGACCUGAGAGGGUGAUCGGCCACACUGGGACUGAGACACGGCCCAGACUCCUACGGGAGGCAGCAGUAGGGAAUCUUCCGCAAUGGACGAAAGUCUGACGGAGCAACGCCGCGUGAGUGAUGAAGGUUUUCGGAUCGUAAAGCUCUGUUGUUAGGGAAGAACAAGUGCAAGAGUAACUGCUUGCACCUUGACGGUACCUAACCAGAAAGCCACGGCUAACUACGUGCCAGCAGCCGCGGUAAUACGUAGGUGGCAAGCGUUGUCCGGAAUUAUUGGGCGUAAAGGGCUCGCAGGCGGUUUCUUAAGUCUGAUGUGAAAGCCCCCGGCUCAACCGGGGAGGGUCAUUGGAAACUGGGAAACUUGAGUGCAGAAGAGGAGAGUGGAAUUC